AGAGUUUGAUCCUGGCUCAGGACGAACGCUGGCGGCGUGCCUAAUACAUGCAAGUAGAGCGCUGAAGGAGGAGCUUGCUUCUCUGGAUGAGUUGCGAACGGGUGAGUAACGCGUAGGUAACCUGCCUGGUAGCGGGGGAUAACUAUUGGAAACGAUAGCUAAUACCGCAUAAGAGUAGAUGUUGCAUGACAUUUACUUAAAAGGUGCAAUUGCAUCACUACCAGAUGGACCUGCGUUGUAUUAGCUAGUUGGUGGGGUAACGGCUCACCAAGGCGACGAUACAUAGCCGACCUGAGAGGGUGAUCGGCCACACUGGGACUGAGACACGGCCCAGACUCCUACGGGAGGCAGCAGUAGGGAAUCUUCGGCAAUGGACGGAAGUCUGACCGAGCAACGCCGCGUGAGUGAAGAAGGUUUUCGGAUCGUAAAGCUCUGUUGUAAGAGAAGAACGAGUGUGAGAGUGGAAAGUUCACACUGUGACGGUAUCUUACCAGAAAGGGACGGCUAACUACGUGCCAGCAGCCGCGGUAAUACGUAGGUCCCGAGCGUUGUCCGGGAUUUAUUGGGCGU
rnacentral:rRNA from 1 species